GUUCCAACUGAGUAGCGAGUUAAGUUUAAGUUUAAUUAAUGUGCCACAUUGGAUUCGUUUGGAAUCGCUCGCCCCUUAAAUUGUCACGGUAUUACCCUGCGCCUAAUACGAAUCCCAUGCGGUAACGAACCCUCGUUGUCUGGCCGAAAUUUUCUUCGAUUCAAACCAGGUGUCGUUUCGUUUCCGUUCCUACGGAAAUUAUACGGUUAUUAGCUGAUCACGAUAAGUCAUAUUUUUCAAGAUUAGUAAUUAACUACCCUUCCAGUUUUUCUACUGGAAUAUUUCCAUGUAUCGCCGAUUUAAAACAUGGUAGAAUAACAAUGUAUAAAGUACUCGUAAUUAUUAAUGCCGGAAUUUUACUGGCAGUUAUGUAAAGAGGGUGAUUUAUUAAUAUUCAUUCCAGCGUGAACGUACGGAGAUUAAUGAGCUACGCGGAAUAUUUUGUGCCUCGUCAUUUACGCGCCAUUUUUAGCUUCUAAACGAUCGAAAUCGCGUGAUCGAUAGACGACGUCGUUUCGUAUUGAAUUUCGAUACAUAAUUGCGCGUCACCAGCGCCACUCAGUUACACACCACGAGUCGAUAUGUUUUCAUUUACCGGAUUCUCGUUCCGUAUUUCUCGUCACGUAUAUUUUUACGUAUUAUCGUUAAACCGGAAUAUAUCGCGCGUUGUUUUCUCUUAAACGAUACGAAGCGUUACAAUAAAUUGUUUCGAGUGUUUAUCUCAAUAAUGGCGACGAUAUUUGCGAUUCUAAGAGUCACAUCAUAUUGACGGCACAAAUGGUGGAAUUUCUAUUUUGUAGCAAGUGUUAUUGUAGCAAGUUAUGUAUAUAUUAGUGUUUCGUGUUCGCGUCGUAUCUCGAGAAUCUCUAUUUCGAAAAUCGGAUCUCGGCCAGGAGUAUCGUAGUGUGAAAGUGGAUUACUGGUUACGUAUUUAUGACAAAAUGUGACGAACCGUGAUUAUGGAAGAGCUUGCGAUCCAUGGGGACUCUUAACGUUGGCUUUGAUCAUCUUACAACAAGCAACAGGUUCUCCAUGUUUGUACUUCUCAGACGACACAACGAGAAAGCCAACGAUGCGAGUCACGAGGACAUCUACGAGAGAAGAGCACCAGGGAAACUGCUUCCGAGACAAUUGAUCGACGACGAGUAAGCGGAUGCAACUGUGAAGGACGGUAUCCAUUUGUUGCGUAUCGGUGUAGGGCAAGUGUUGCACAGUUGCGAUAUAAACAUCGCCAUACGAGCAUCAUUUUUCGUCGUCGCGUCAAAGGAACGAUAGGCUAAGAUGGAGUUAUUUCGGUCAGUCAAGCUUCAACAUCUUAAAAUUCAACUUUAAAUAAUUCAGUUUGUUAUAUUUUAAGUAAGUUAGUUCUUAAUAUAAUAACGAAAGAAUGGAAAAGAACCCUGCGAGUACUUUAGGUUCAGCAUGAGAAAAUAACUCAAGUAACUCUAUGGCAGAGUUAGCUCUGCGACGAGUCAAGCAAUCUGCAUCUUCCAAAAACGCUUCAUAAUUAAAUUUGAUCACUGUACCAGGCAAAUUGUUUAGCUUAACUCAAAUAUCCGAAUUUAGAAUCAAUUUGAAGCGUAUCAUUUUUUCGUUCCUACGGGCGUGUCUUCCAUGUCAGACCUUCUUUUUCCCUUUUAAUACGUAAGGAUGGACAAAAUUGUAUAUCGUUGCACGAUGUCUUAUCGUUGGAUGAUGUACACAACGAAUACACGCAACGAAUGGAUACCAAACUCGAGAAGAGUGGAGAUGAAGAUGGUCGAAGAAGACAGCGAGGAGGCGAGCAGUUGGGCAGAUUUUCAAUGGUUUCCAUCGAGAGAUGUGUGCCGAUGGGAGAAGAGCAGGGGAUGGAUCUCUUAUUCCGCUUUGGAAAAAGGAGGGAGAAAAGGGCGAUCGGGCACGAUGUGAAAAGGCAGGGCUCGGAUAGUACGGAGGAGAGGUAGAGGAACGCAAGAGAGAGCUGAACUUUUGCGACAUCGAGAGGGUGAGCGAAGAUGACGAUGGUGAAGGAAUGAGAGAGGGGGUGGGAAGACUGUCGUGGCAUUGAUCGGCCACGCCACCGCUACGGUAUUCUUGCUCUGGUCUCUCCCGAUAGAUGCCCUCGAGUUUCUGGAACUACAUAGAACGUGACAGUAUCUGAUAGUUAUAUCAGCCUCUUAAGAGUCAAAUUGAUUAACUCCAUUUUUCUGAAUUUUUCAAUUUCAUUUAAUUAAACACAUAAUUGCUAUUAAAUUUCACAAAAGAAAGGAAACACUUCUAUAAGCUCAUUUGUUGAAAGAAAGUCGUAGAAAUAAUCGUGAACAGAAGUUAAUAAUGUCGUCACUUUUUCUACCUUUGUCAUUAAUUUAUUUCGUAAUUAGCCUUCGUCGUAUCAUCGAUCUUUUGGAAAAACUUUCUGCCGAUUGUUUCAGCAAAACAAAUGGAAGUGUUUUUAUAAAAGAGCUUUAAC